rnacentral:rRNA from 1 species
UUUGUAAAUGGCCGCAGUAUUCUGACUGUGCUAAGGUAGCAUAAUCAUUAGUCUUUUAAUUGGAGGCUGGUAUGAAUGACGAGACGAGAAAAUAGCUGUCUCUAUAAUAAACUUUGAAUUUCAUUUCUGAGUGAAAAAGCUCAGAUAAUUUUGAAGGACGAUCAGACCCUUUGGAGCUUUAUUUACUUCAAAAAUUUGAAUUUGUUUUAAUUGAUUGAAUGGAAAGUAAAUUUUGUUGGGGCGACAGGGAGUAAAAUAUAACACUCUUUUUUUAAAACAAUCCUAAUUGGAAAAUUGAUCCUUAAAGUGAGAUUAUAAGACUAAGUUACCCUAGGGAUAACAGCGUAAUCUUUUUGGAGAGUUCAAAUCGAUAAAAAGGUUUGCGACCUCGAUGUUGGAUUAAGAGAUUGGCAAGGUGCAGAAGUUUUGCUGGAAAGUCUGUUCGACUUUUAAUCUCUUACAUGAUCUGAGUUCAA